AGGCAAAUUGGGCCUGGGAGCUUGCUCCCGGAAGUCAGCGGCGGACGGGUGAGUAACACGUGGGCAACCUGCCUGUAAGACUGGGAUAACUUCGGGAAACCGGAGCUAAUACCGGAUAAUUCUUUCCCUCACAUGAGGGAAAGCUGAAAGAUGGUUUCGGCUAUCACUUACAGAUGGGCCCGCGGCGCAUUAGCUAGUUGGUGAGGUAACGGCUCACCAAGGCAACGAUGCGUAGCCGACCUGAGAGGGUGAUCGGCCACACUGGGACUGAGACACGGCCCAGACUCCUACGGGAGGCAGCAGUAGGGAAUCUUCCGCAAUGGACGAAAGUCUGACGGAGCAACGCCGCGUGAGUGAUGAAGGUUUUCGGAUCGUAAAACUCUGUUGUUAGGGAAGAACAAGUACCGGAGUAACUGCCGGUACCUUGACGGUACCUAACCAGAAAGCCACGGCUAACUACGUGCCAGCAGCCGCGGUAAUACGUAGGUGGCAAGCGUUGUCCGGAAUUAUUGGGCGUAAAGCGCGCGCAGGCGGUUCCUUAAGUCUGAUGUGAAAGCCCACGGCUCAACCGUGGAGGGUCAUUGGAAACUGGGGAACUUGAGUGCAGAAGAGAAGAGUGGAAUUCCACGUGUAGCGGUGAAAUGCGUAGAGAUGUGGAGGAACACCAGUGGCGAAGGCGACUCUUUGGUCUGUAACUGACGCUGAGGUCCACGCCGUAAAC
rnacentral:rRNA from 1 species